GAUGUACGCUGGCGGCGUGCUUAAUACAUGCAAGUCGAACGGACAGGCCCGGCUUUUGUUCGGUGCUCGAGUGGCGAAGGGGUGAGUAAAACGCGUGUAACCCGCCCUUGACUUUGGGAUAACUCCAGGAAACUGGGGCUAAUACCGGGUAGGAUCUACUGCUGCACGUUGGGGAUUGGAGAGUUUCGGCGUUUUGGGAUGGACUCGCGGCUUAUCAGCUUGUUGGUGGGGUAGUUGCGUACCAAGGUUUUGACGGGUAGCCGGCCUGGGAGCGUGGACGGCCACAUGACGACUGAGGUACGGAGCAGAAGCCAACCGGAGGCAGCGGGCGGAAAUCUUGCGGAGUGGGCGGACGCCUGAUGCAGCGGCCCCGGGUGCGGAAUAACGGCCUUCGGGUUGUAAACCGCUUUGGCAUGUGACGAAGCGUGAGUGACGGUAAUGGGUAAAGAAGCAACGGCUAACUACGUG
rnacentral:rRNA from 1 species